GGUAGUGUGGCCGAGCGGUCCAAGGCGCUGGAUUAAGAUUUCAGUCUCUUUGGAGGCGUGGGUUCAAAUCCCACCACUGCCA